UGGAAGACAGGAAGUGAUGUCAGGUAUAAAUAGGAAUUACCGAGCGAGAUGUGAGUCGGGAGGAAGUAGAGAGGAGACAUUGCUCGACCUGGCAGCCGAGAAGGGAAACCUUAAUAUAUCACAUGACCAAUGAUGAUGGAGGAAGAUCGGAGUCACAUGACGGAGAAGAUACUAAACCUCACCCUGGAGAUCAUCUACCUGCUGACCGGAGAGAGAUUUCCUCUUGUGAAGUCAGGUGAUCAUAU